rnacentral:rRNA from 1 species
AUUGAACGCUGGCGGCAGGCCUAACACAUGCAAGUCGAGCGGGGUUUUCGGACCUAGCGGCGGACGGGUGAGUAAUGCGUAGGAAGCUACCCGAUAGAGGGGGAUACCAGUUGGAAACGACUGUUAAUACCGCAUAAUGUCUACGGACCAAAGUGUGGGACCUUCGGGCCACAUGCUAUCGGAUGCGCCUACGUGGGAUUAGCUAGUUGGUGAGGUAAUGGCUCACCAAGGCGACGAUCCGUAACUGGUCUGAGAGGAUGAUCAGUCACACUGGAACUGAGACACGGUCCAGACUCCUACGGGAGGCAGCAGUGGGAAUAGUUGGACAAUGGGCGAAAGCCUGAUCCAGCCAUGCCGCGUGUGUGAAGAAGGUCUUCGGAUUGUAAAGCACUUUAAG